UUGUUUAUUGAUGUGAUUAUGAACGUAAGAACGUUGAAUAUGAAUUACUAAACAGUUUAAAUAGAUGUUAAUUAUUUAUUUUAUUUAUAUUUAUUAUAAGUAAUUCCAUUUGGAUCAGUCUCUUGAAGAUCUAUCCUUUUUAUGGAGAUAUUGAUUUGACAGCCUUUGUGGCCUAAACUUUGAGAAGGCUCUAGCCAACGAUGUAUGUUCAGGCCUUCAAAUAGAAGAUCAUAAUAGAGUUGCAGAGUUUGUGGCCAAGGAUGUCCAAUUAAUUCAGGCAAAGAUUGGCGAAGCAUUAAAGUAAACAGUUUACUGUGAAGUAAGAGCACGCAAAAAGAAAUCCAGGUAAAGUUGAUUAAAAUAUUUCUCUUUAAUCUUUAUCCCACUCCUCUUAAUUAUAAGUUUCUAUUAACUAUCAAGUUACACGUCCGAAGACAAGGAUUGUCACAAUCUAUGGUAAUAUUUUUUAUGAUCACAUGUUUCUGAUUUCAUUGUUUUUAUUUAUCAUCAGGUUUUGAUUUUUUGUCUUCGUAACAAUUGCUUUUUCUCUGUUUCUUUCCUUUCUAUUAUUUUUGCUUGCCUUAUCUGAUUGUAAUUUUCAAUUUGUUUUGGUUCCUUAUUUGUUACUCAUUCAUAAUCAUUUAGUUCUUUUAUGACCUUUUAUUUGCGUUCAUUGGGGUUUUAUAUUAUAAUCCAUGGAUUAUUAGUUGUAAAAAAAGAUCUAUACAACAUCUUACUUUAAUGAAUAUCAUGUGCAAACCUCUCCUUAGUUUCUCCUUUUUUCUGCCAUUAAUAUUUUUUUUUCUUCUUUCACAUGCUCAGGUCAAAGCAGUUGGCAUAAAAGAAUCACAAACUAUUUAUCGGUGUGCUGCUAUCCUUGUUAGUCUCUUUAAUAUGACAAUUAUGUUGUUAUUUCUAUAAAUAGUUUGUAAGAAAUUUAUUCACAAGAGCACAUGAAAAUUACAAAAUUGAAUCUGAUAUGGAGUUGCUUGGUACUUUUUAAUUAAUUUCUUUUCUGCCUCCUUAGGUAUUUGAGCACAAAAAUUUUUUUUUUUUCAGUUUAUUUUUUUGUAUGUAACUUAUUUAGAUAUUUAUUCAAGUUUGUUCGAAUUUGUUGGUUUUA